UUCUAACAGUUAUUAAACAAUAGAGAAUGUGACAGCUGUGGGACAGGACUGCAAUUAUCACAUUACGGUAUUGACAUCUCAGAGCCACACUCUUGGGAGUGCAUGUACUCUCAGUGCCAAAGUCAGAACCACCUGGAAAACAGUGGACCACAUAUUUGCUCCUUCACAACAGCAGCCUCCUGGAACUCAAUCCAGUUCCUUUCUAUUUAAAUCAUAAUCUACUCUCAAGAGAACUAGGGAAAGUGGAUGACAAGUGUGGAUCGAUGCUGUUCAUCUAUUCUAAGAAUUACAUUUCCUAGAGAAUAUUGUAAGCAUCAAUGAGAAGAACCCUAUUGAUUUUGGUGACAAUUGAAAAGGAACAAUGGAAAAGUCUGAUAUCUAUACUUAGUGCUGCAGGCAGCGCAUUCUGACAUCAGAGCCAGGCUGCCCAACGUGGCUAGGAUCCGCGUCCCCUCGACCCUCCCACUCAGCAGGAGCUGCACGGGCUCCCCUCUAGCUUGUAGCAAGGGGACUGGCUGAGGGAGAAGCCUCCCCAGGUAGCCUGACCCCCCAGCCCUGCCCCUUCCACCCGAGACCCCGCCCCUUCUGGGGGCAGGAGUUGGCCCCCGUACCGAACAGAUUCAACUCCUGUUGGACCGAUUACUUUACAUGGGAGUCAGGAGAG